AUUGAACGCUGGCGGCAUGCCUUACACAUGCAAGUCGAACGGCAGCACGGACUUCGGUCUGGUGGCGAGUGGCGAACGGGUGAGUAAUGUAUCGGAACGUACCCUUGAGGGGGGGAUCACUAUCCGAAAGGAUAGCUAAUACCGCAUAUUCUCUGAGGAGGAAAGCGGGGGAUCGCAAGAUCUCGCGCUGCUGGAGCGGCCGAAAUCAGAUUAGCUAGUUGGUGGGGUAAAGGCAUACCAAUGCGACGAUCUGUAGCGGGUCUGAGAGGAUGAUCCGCCACACUGGGACUGAGACACGGCCCAGACUCCUACGGGAGGCAGCAGUGGGGAAUUUUGGACAAUGGGGCAACCCUGAUCCAGCCAUGCCGCGUGAGUGAAGAAGGCCUUCGGGUUGUAAAGCUCUUUCGGCCGGGAAGAAAUCGCGUGAGUUAAUACCUUGGGUGGAUGACGGUACCGGAAUAAGAAGCACCGGCUAACUACGUGCCAGCCGCCGCGGUAA
rnacentral:rRNA from 1 species